UAAGCAUAUCAAUAAGCGGAGGAAAAGAAACCAACAGGGAUUGCCCUAGUAAUGGCGAAUGAACAGGCAAAAGCUCAGAUUUGAAACCCUCGGGAUUGUAAUCUGGAGACCUGGAUUUGGCACGCUGACCAAGUCUUCUGGAACGGAGCGCCAUGGAGGGUGACAGCCCCGUAGCAGCAGCCACUGUAAAUCCGGGUCGACGAGUCGAGUUGUUUGGGAAUGCAGCUCUAAGUGGGUGGUAUGCUCCAUCUAAAGCUAAAUAUUGGCGAGAGACCGAUAGCGAACAAGUACUGUGAAGGAAAGAUGAAAAGAACUUUGAAAAGAGAGUGAAAAAGUACGUGAAAUUGUUGAAAUGGAAGGCAAUGAGGUGCGAUUGAACCGGACGUUUGCGGGCAGGACAAAAGCGCAGGCCGCCUCGGCAUUGCCUGCGUGCAUACUGCCUCGCGGACUACCAGUUCUAACAACGCCUUAUUGCACCCGUCUUGAAACACGGACCAAGGAGUCUAUUGCCUAUGCGAGUGUUCGGGUGGCAAACCCAUACGCGCAGUGAAAGCACUCGGUUCGAACCUUCGGGGGCAGAACCGGCCGAACUCUCCAGGGAGUAUUGAGCAAGCAGAGGUGAUGGGACC
rnacentral:rRNA from 1 species